rnacentral:rRNA from 1 species
AAACUAACAAGGAUUCCCCUAGUAACUGCGAGUGAAGCGGGAAAAGCUCAAAUUUAAAAUCUGGCGGUCUUUGGCCGUCCGAGUUGUAAUCUAGAGAAGUGUUACCCGCGUCGGACCGUGUACAAGUCUCCUGGAAUGGAGCGUCAUAGAGGGUGAGAAUCCCGUCUUUGACACGGACYACCGAGGCUUUGUGGUGCGCUCUCAAAGAGUCGAGUUGUUUGGGAAUGCAGCUCAAAAUGGGUGGUAAAUUCCAUCUAAAGCUAAAUAUUGGCGAGAGACCGAUAGCGAACAAGUACCGUGAGGGAAAGAUGAAAAGAACUUUGGAAAGAGAGUUAAACAGUACGUGAAAUUGCUGAAAGGGAAACGCUUGAAGUCAGUCGCGUUGUCCGGGAAUCAGCCUUCCUUCUGGUUGGUGUWSUUCCUGGUUGACGGGCCAGCAUCAGUUUUGACCGGUGGAAAAAGUUCGAGGGAAUGKGGCACCUCCGGGUGUGUUAUAGCCCUCGUUCGUAUACAUCGGUUGGGACUGAGGAACUCAGCACGCCGCAAGGCCGGGAUUCGUCCACGUUCGUGCUUAGGAUGCUGGCAUAAUGGCUUUAAUCGACC